ACGGGGCCCGCACAAGCAGCGGAGCGUGUGGUUUAAUUCGAUGCAACACGAAAACCUUACCAAGGCUUGACAUGACAGAAGUAGCAAACCGAAAGGGCGCCACCUGUUAAAUCAGGAGCUGCCACAGGUGCUGCAUGGCUGUCGUCAGCUCGUGCCGUGAGGCGUUAGGUUAAGUCCUGUAACGAGCGCAACCCUUGUUGCCAGUUAAUUUCUCUGGCGAGACCGCCCCGAAAACGGGAGGAAGGUGGGGAUGACGUCAAGUCAGCAUGGCCCUUAUGCCUUGGGCUACACACACGCUACAAUGGGUGGUACAAUGGGUAGCAAGGGAGCGAUCCGGAGCUAAUCCUUUAAAACCAUCCUCAGUUCGGAUUGCAGGCUGAAACCCGCCUGCAUGAAGUCGGAGUUGCUAGUAACCGCAAAUCAGCAUGUUGCGGUGAAUACGUUCUCGGGCCUU
rnacentral:rRNA from 1 species